rnacentral:lncRNA from 1 species
AUUAAAAUUCUUUUGUUAAUGGCGUCUCUGUUCGUUCUCGGCCGAAAAUGCCAAAAGUGAAAGUGUGCUUUAUUUGUGGUGUGAUUGAUAAGGAAAGUGACAAAUCCUUUUUCUGUUUACAUUUCUGUUUUACAUUUCAUUAGGAAAAUUGGAGGAAUGACAGAAAAAAAUUGCCAAACCUGGGUUGACGAGAGCAUCAAGGUUGUGCGAGGCACAUUUUGAGAAAAGUGAAAUUCAUAAAGGAACUCAAGUAGGCAACGACUUUGUUCCAGCAACAAAAAAUCGUUUGUUAACGAAAAAUGUAGUGCCCACAAAAAAUUUGGCAGAGCAAUCUUGAAUCGGACUAGAAUGGCUUUACAGCCAUGUAUCCUUAACAUUGGAUCAACAGCAGAUACGAGGACCAAGGUUACGUACUGAACCAUGUACCAAAAUACAGAAGCCACAGCCAUAGCCAACAGAACUUGUUGGAGCUAUAACGAGUUUAGUUCAUCCAGAUGCAACAAUGACUGAUGGAUGCCACAAAGAUGCUGUAAUUCCUGCUGUUUGCCCCCUAUUGCUUAUGUUGUUGCCAACAAAGAAGAGAAUGAAUCAGUUUGUGUUAACAUGACAAACGAAGAAGUUCAAUCAUCAAUUUAUACCAAUGGAUGCCAUGCAGAGGCUGUGAUCCCUGAUGCUUCACGCUAUUCUUCUUGAGCUACUGAUGUUGCAGCUGACAAAGAGAAUGAAACAGCUUGCAAUAACGUGACAAGCGAAACAGUUGAAACAUCAACAAGCAAAGCUGGAUGCUGCGGAGUAACUUUGUGAACGAGUAAGGCGCCUCGAUCUGCAAUGAAUACUAAUUCAAACUGCAAAUAAAAUACAUAUUCAUUGCUUCUCGCAAGAGGAACGUGUUCAGGAAGAUUUUGCCAGAUUCCUGCAUCAAUUGUUCAAAGAAUUGCGCAAAGGUAGCAAAAUUGCAGGAAAAAAUAAAGGAAAAGGAAAAAACCAUUAGACGAUUAAGACAACAAAAUGCACGUCUAGUUUCAUAUUUCAACGAUAUGGCCGGAAAGAUCGAACAAUUUAAGGUGGAACUAAAGAACUUGACUGAGAAGUCACUGGAAAAAACAAAUAUGUCACUUGAAACCACAAGAGCAGGAAGUAAUUAGAACAUUCAUUGUGAAGGGACGGACACAGCUUACGUCGGAGAGUGGGAAAGCUUACUCUAUGUGAUAUGGUCCUGGCUUUUUACUCCAGUGUUUACUCUGGAAGAUGAAAAGCACCUCGGUGUAUAAACAUUUGAGGAAUAGAAGCAUACUUCCUCUUCCACAUCCAGAUACAAUCAGUAAAUUUCUGA